rnacentral:rRNA from 1 species
UACAGAGGUCCCAAGCGUUGUUCGGAUUCACUGGGCGUAAAGGGUGUGUAGGAGGUCGGGUAAGUCGGGUGUGAAAUCCCACCGCUUAACGGUGGAAUGGCAUUCGAUACUGCUCGGCUCGAGGAUCGGAGAGGAGAGCGGAAUUCUUGGUGUAGCGGUGAAAUGCGUAGAUAUCAAGAGGAACACCGGUGGCGAAAGCGGCUCUCUGGAAGAUUCCUGACUCUGAAACACGAAAGCCAGGGGAG